GCACUGGCUUCGCUGAUUCCUCCUUUCUGAAGAACUGUAAUGCCAUUAAUUUGGUGUUGCAGGGAAACAGGACUGUUACUUUGAAAAAAUUAGAGUGUUUAAAGCAGGCUAACGCUUGAAUACAUUAGCAUGGAAUAAUGAAAUAGGACGUUUGAUCCUAUUUUGUUGGUUUCUAGGAUUGACGUAAUGAUUAAUAGGGAUAGUUGGGGGCAUUAGUAUUCAAUUGUCAGAGGUGAAAUUCUUGGAUUUAUUGAAGACUGACUACUGCGAAAGCAUUUGCCAAGGAUGUUUUCAUUAAUCAAGAACGAAAGUUAGGGGAUCGAAGACGAUCAGAUACCGUCGUAGUCUUAACCAUAAACUAUGCCGACUAGGGAUCGGAUGAUGUUAAUUCUUUAAUGACUCAUUCGGCGCCUUACG
rnacentral:rRNA from 1 species